GGGGUCAUAGCUCAGUUGGUAGAGCGUUUGAAUGGCAUUUAAAAGGUUGGGGGUUCGAUUCCCCCUGGCUCCACCA
rnacentral:tRNA from 1 species